rnacentral:lncRNA from 1 species
UAUGGCCCGUUUCUUUGGACUAUAUGCUUGGGUAGGUAACAGUCAAUUCCCAAUCUUCUGAGACUUCGAUGAUAUAGGGUUCACGGCUGACGGAGUGGUUUAAAAUGUAGGGUUUAUGGGAGUUUGUAUAUGCGUUUAUAAAUAAUUGAUAGUUUGCGUGUAUACGCUUAUCAUUUUAUUUCACUUCAAAGUUAAUGUUCAUAUUUUCUUUUGGAUUGAAGGAAGUACCAUGACAUCAAUUUCAUCAUGUACCAAUAUUUUGAUUGUUUUUGAAUAAUGGUUAAAGCUUCUGUACUGGUUUCGUGAGAAAACAACAUUUAAUUAUGGAGGAAUGGAGAUCCAGUGAUAUGCCACUAUCAAAGCCCUCAAAGGGCCCCUCAUAUUGUACGUUUGCUCUCUCUCUCUUUGAAGCUUUUUUUUUCUUCCUUUAUUUGCGUCUGUCAGUGAAGGAAACAAGGGGGAAGGUAAUUGGUACUAGCAGCCAAUGGCUUGCACUGACUUGUCCUUCUCCGUGCCUCUGCUAGUGCUUGCAAAUAUCAGAACCAAAUUUUUUCAGAGACUUAAUUAUUGAUCCUAGAAUAUUUGAGAAUGAUGAAGAAUUGAAAGGGUUAAUUUAUCUUCUUAUUGUGCAUUUUCCUGGAGUUUUUUCUUAACCAAAGGCAGAAGUUUAUUGAAUCAAAAAGAUGCAUGUCCUUACCAAGUUUGCCUAUAUUUGAACACCGACUCAAAUGUCCUUUUCUCAUUUUAUCCUGUCUAUUUUCUUUUCCAAGUUCUAGGCAGACAGGGACAAUGUCCAAAAAUUACUGCUUUUUUGGCAAUCUUGUAUUAGACUAAUAUCAAAAGCUCCAGAACCUAAUUUGCUCUUAAAGGGAGAUUUUCCGGCCUACUUUACUGAUGGGCACAGUACAAUAUGAACUUUAGAGUGUGUGGAAUUUUAUGCAUUAGAGUCAAAUUGAGGCAAAAUUCAUGUGGCUUUUCCUCUCCAAAAUAAUUGCUCCCUCCCUCCUUCCCUCCCUCCAAUUAUUUCAGGUAAGCAUUGACAUCACCGUAUCAUCAUUGCCAAAUGCCUGCAGCAAC